rnacentral:rRNA from 1 species
GACGAACGCUGGCGGCGUGCUUAACACAUGCAAGUCGAACGGAAAGGCCCUGCUUUUGUGGGGUGCUCGAGUGGCGAACGGGUGAGUAACACGUGAGUAACCUGCCCUUGACUUUGGGAUAACUUCAGGAAACUGGGGCUAAUACCGGAUAGGAGCUCCUGCUGCAUGGUGGGGGUUGGAAAGUUUCGGCGGUUGGGGAUCGACUCGCGGCUUAUCAGCUUGUUGGUGGGGUAGUGGCUUACCAAGGCUUUGACGGGUAGCCGGCCUGAGAGGGUGACCGGCGACAUUGGGACUGAGAUACGGCCCAGACUCCUACGGGAGGCAGCAGUGGGGAAUAUUGCACAAUGGGCGGAAGCCUGAUGCAGCAACGCCGCGUGCGGGAUGACGGCCUUCGGGUUGUAAACCGCUUUCGCCUGUGACGAAGCGUGAGUGACGGUAAUGGGUAAAGAAGCACCGGCUAACUACGUG